GAUGAACGCUAGCGGCAGGCUUAACACAUGCAAGUCGAGGGGUAGAAAUAGCUUGCUAUUUUGAGACCGGCGCACGGGUGCGUAACGCGUAUGCAAUCUGCCUUGUACUGGGGAAUAGCCCGGAGAAAUCCGGAUUAAUGCCCCAUGGUAUUUUUGUGUGGCAUCACACGAUUAUUAAAGAUUUAUCGGUACAAGAUGAGCAUGCGUCCCAUUAGUUAGUUGGUGUGGUAACGGCACACCAAGACGAUGAUGGGUGGGGGUCCUGAGAGGGAGAUCCCCCACACUGGUACUGAGACACGGACCAGACUCCUACGGGAGGCAGCAGUGAGGAAUAUUGGUCAAUGGGCGCAAGCCUGAACCAGCCAUGCCGCGUGCAGGAUGACGGCCCUAUGGGUUGUAAACUGCUUUUAUACGGGAAGAAACACCUCUUCGUGAAGAGGCUUGACGGUACCGUAAGAAUAAGGAUCGGCUAACUCCGUGCCAGCCGCCGCAGUAACAC
rnacentral:rRNA from 1 species